AGAGCAACUAAAACUUUACAGUUUUUACCAAACAAACCAUUUACAAAGAACAAGGUCAGGGAGGAGACAGACCAGAUAGCCUACAGCAGCAGGGAUCAUAAUGCAGACUUUCCUCAGGUAAGGAGAAAUUAUGACUAUUAUUCUUGAAGUGGAACAGUCUUUAAAACCUGGUGUAUAGUUUGAAGUCUCUACUUUUGACACAAUUUGUAACAGAGUCUC